ACUCCCACCCUCAAUUUUUUUUUUUUUAAACAGAGCCUUGCUAUGCUCUCCAGGCCAGUAUUGAACUACUGGGCUCAAGUGAUUCUCCUGCUUCCGCCUCCCCAGUAGCUGGGACUACAGGCAUCUUUUGACAAGAAUGCUAAGACCACUUUCUGGGGAAAGAUCAGACUUUUGAACAAAAUCUGAAAAAAAUGGCACUGCAAAACUUGGAUAUCACAUGCAAAAGAAGAUAGGAUUUUACUUUAUACCAUGCACAAAAAAUAAGCUCAAAAUGGAUCAAACACCUAGAUGUAAGAGUUAAACUAUAAAACUACUGGAAGAAAAUACAGGCGCACCUCUCCAUGACCAUUACCUUAGAUUUGGUAACGGUUUCUGCAAUAUGACACCCAAAGCACUAGCAAUAACAACAACAAAUAGAUAAAUUGGGGUGGUUGGGAGGGAAAAUGGGGGACCAUGAACGGAAAUUGAUUUCUAUGCAUGUGAGUAUGUCGGGAUGAACCCAACUACUAUGUAUAACCAUAAAGCUCUGAUGAAUAAAAGAAAAAGAAAUUGGUUAAAACAAAAUAGGUAAAUCGGUCUUCAUUAAAAUAAUAAAAAACCCUCUUGUACAUCAAAGGACACUAUAAAGAUAGUGAUAAAAAUACACAGAAAAAUGAGAGAAAAUAUUUACAAAUCAUGUUUAAUACAGGUUGAAU
rnacentral:lncRNA from 1 species